UUAUUUUAUCACCUUUUUUUGUUCCAUAACUCGUCAUUAUUUUUCUUGGUUCAUUGUCCUUUUUCUCCUUUUAAGUUUAUCUUCACUUCUCUACUUGCGGUUUCCCUCUGCAUGCACUCUUCUCACUAGUCUUGCAGAGUUAAGGAUCUUUAGGAGGGGAAGCUUAGAGAGUUUGCCGCAGAGAUGGGGGAGAUUACCAACGUCACGGAAUAUCAGGCAAUUGCCAAGCAGAAGUUGCCAAAGAUGGUAUAUGAUUACUAUGCAUCAGGUGCAGAGGAUGAAUGGACUCUGGCGGAGAAUAGAAACGCUUUCUCCAGAAUUUUGUUUAGGCCACGGAUUCUAAUUGAUGUGAGCAGGAUUGACAUGACCACCACCAUCUUGGGAUUUAAGAUUUCAAUGCCCAUCAUGAUUGCCCCAACUGCCAUGCAGAAAAUGGCUCAUCCUGAAGGUGAAUAUGCAACUGCAAGAGCCGCAUCAGCUGCAGGAACAAUUAUGGUUAAAUACAUAUCCUUGGGAAAUUUAUAUCGAAUCUUUUGAAAGAAGAUUUAGAUCAUGUUUAAAUUCAUAGAGUCACAUUAUUUGGCAGUAUCUACUCUCCAAGAAGGCAAGAACUAUCAAAGUUGACAUGACAAUGUAGCAAGAUUUUUACGUUGUGUGGCUUUAUAUAGCACACUGGAAAAUAAUGGAACCUGGAGAUUAAACUACAAAGACUUGUAAUAUACACUGAAUUAUUAAUGUAUGAUCUGUUGGUGAUUUCAGACGCUGUCAUCAUGGGCUACUUCCAGUGUUGAAGAGGUUGCAUCAACAGGACCAGGCAUCCGGUUUUUUCAAAUUUAUGUCUUCAGGGACAGGAAUAUUGUUGCUCAGUUUGUGCGAAGAGCUGAAAGGGCAGGUUUUAAGGCUAUGGCCCUUACUGUUGACCUACCUAGAGGGGGACGCAGAGAAGCAGAUAUCAAGAAUCGAACUUCGAGGGAUUAGACCUUGGCAAGAUGGACAAAGCAGAUGACUCUGGAUUAAUUUCAUAUGCUGCUGGUCAAACUGAUCGCACUCUAACUUGGAAGGAUUUCAAGUGGCUCCAGACCAUCACUUCAAUGCCCAUCCUUGUGAAGGGUGUCCUUACUGCUGAAGAUGCAAGAAUAGCUGUCCAGAAUGGAGCAGCUGGCAUCAUUGUAUCCAAUCAUGGUGCCCGUCAACUUGAUUAUGUUCCUGCAACUAUUAUGGCUUUGGAAGAGGUUGUGAAAGCUGCACAGGGUCGUGUGCCAGUGUUCUUGGAUGGAGGGGUCCGUCGUGGCACUGAUGUCUUCAAGGCCUUAGCCCUUGGAGCUUCUGGCAUAUUCAUUGGAAGACCUGUGGUUUUCUCCUUGGCUGCAGAAGGAGAAGCUGGAGUUAGAAAAGUACUUCAGAUGCUGCGUGAGGAAUUUGAGCUAACCAUGGCGUUGAGCGGCUGCCGGUCACUCUCGGAGAUUACUCGCAACCACAUUGUCACCGACUGGGAUGUUCCACGCCUUCUUCCUCCAGCAAGGCUUUGAAUGCAGCUGCCUAAAUUAGAGGCAACUGCUUCAUUACAAUUUGAACCAUGGCAUUUGUGCUUUCAAGAGAAUCCCUUUUCAUGAAAACUCACUUAUGUUUAAAUGAGUCUACAAUCUACAUUAUGAUAAUGUCAAAGCUUUUGAGUAGAGGUGGCAAUUUGUCCCAAGUCCCAAUGGGUUACCCAUGCCCAAAAGGACUUUAGGCGGGAUGGGUAUUAUAAUUUGAUAUUGGAUUUAAAAUGGGAUGCAUCCCAAUUGUACCCAUUAUUUGAUGGGAAAUGUUGGGAAAUAUUUGGGUACCCAUUGGGCUCAAAUAUCUUCCCAAAAAAUUUCAUUUAUCAAAAAAUUCAUCUUUGAUUUUUUUUUUUUUUUUGCAAAAAUCUGAUUUUUUUGCACUUCCAUUUUCUUUCUUUUCCUUUCUUCACUUUCCUACAAAAGAAAACCAAUUAAGUAAAAAUGAUUUCAUUUAAACAACUUAAAAAAAAUAAAGAUAACAAUAAAAAUAAAAUGAAUUGAUAAAAUUUUGUUGUCUACAAGAAUCAAUACUUUACUAACAAUUGUUGGCACCCUUUAUGUUGAUUUUAUGCUAAUUGUUGAACUAUCUACAUAGAUUUCUAUAUGCAACAUUGUUAUCAAUUUUUAAUCAGCUUUUUCGUUUCUAUGCUAGUUUUAUUCAGCAUUUAAUGUGAAUUUCUUUUGUAUCAAAUUUUGGAAAUUUUAAGAAUGUCAAUAAGAAUGAAUUUGGUAUUAAAAAAUCUUGUUUCUAGUUCUUGUGUUAGACAAUAUUAUGGAUAAGGUUGGAAUAUGGCUAUAUAUCUAUAUUUUCCUUUAUUUGUUAAUCCAAUUUUUGGUUUAAUCCAGGGAGAAGAUAUGUUCAUUCUUACCAAAAUGUUAUGUCUUUUAAAAGUAACUAUUGAUCGUUCUAGAAUGUAAAUGAAUUCAGGAAAAUAUAAAUUCACAAUAAGAUAAAAAGAAAUUUAACAAAUAAAAAUAUUAAAGUUAUAUAAAAAAUAAAAAAGAAUUAAAAGAAAAAAAUAUAGAAAAUAAAUUUGGGUAUUGGGCGGGAUCAAUCUAAACACAUUCCAAAGUGAUCCCGCCCAAGUUAGUCCCAAAACAUAUAUGGGUAAGGUUAGACACAAAUCCAUGUGAUUCGGUUCCAUUUCGAAUCCAAACAAAUUCAUGUGCAUGAGAUUGGACCAAAGUUUAUUCUAAAAAUAUGAGCUCUAGCUUUCUUAUUAAGAUGCUGCUAUCUGAAGUAUUCAUCCUUUUCACAAAUUUUGUUGUCUACCUCCAUUCACAAUUCAACAUUAUGGGUUGUAUUAUUGCAGAAUCCUCCAUCAGUUCCUACUUUAGUAGCUGUUAAAUGGGCCAGCUGCCUGAGACAUUCUGCUUUUGUAUUAGACUGGCAUAAUUUUGGUUACACACUACUUUCACUGACUCUUGGGAGGGGCAGCAGUUUUGUGACAAUAUAUCGUUGGUAUAAGACAAACCUUUUCCAUUUAAGUGUAGAAUUGGACCUUUUCUUAAUUAAUGAUUCAUAAAGUCAAAACAUAUCUAGGAUUGAGAAGCAUUACGGGAGGAUGGCAAGUGGUGCCUUUUGUGUGACAAAGGCAAUGCAACAUGAAUUGGAUCAGAACUAGGGGAUUAAAGCAACUGUGCUUUAUGAUCAACCUCCUGAAUUUUUCCGACCUGCUUCCAUUGAGGAGAAGCAUGAGUUGUUUUGUAGGAUCAGCGAAAGUCUCAGUCAACCCUUUGGACUUCAAGACUGCAUAAGCUAUGGAAUGACUGGAACAGGUGAAAGUGAUCCCAAUUCUACCUUAUUUACAAUUCAUACUGGCACAAAUAUAAUUAUGAAGCAGAACAGACCUGCCAUCAUUGUAAGCAGCACAAGUUGGUAAGCUGUUGAUGUGUCUUCAUUCAGUAGAUCAACUAAGCACCUAAUUACUAAAUUGUAGAUGACUAUCCUACUCCACAGUAUCUUGGGAGCUUAUGAAACUUUUUAAGGUAAAGUUAUGGCUUUAGUUCUUCGGAGACAGAUAACCAUUUGAGGAGUGUUAUUGAUUUGAGAUCAAACUGUUCACAACACAGAAACAUUGAUUAGUUUAGUGAUCUCCCAACAACAGAAAUUAGUACCACUGCUGUUUUUGCGAGCUUCAAAACCAGAAAGAAGGGUACCAAUGAUAAUCUGAAUAGCUUUUUCAUGCAUUCUUCAAUUCUUUCGCAUGAAAUGCAGUACGAAAUGGUAGUUAUGUGGUUAAUGGGCCAUAACUAAAUGAUGUGAGUUUAUAGCAAAUAUAGAUGGCGGCUGUUGUCUUAAGGAAUAGCCAAAUUGUUAUAAUGUUGUUAUUCUGCAUAGCAUCUCUGAUUCCAUAUAAGUAAUUUUCAGGACUCCAGAUGAAAACUUUAGCAUUCUUUUGGAGGCAGCACUUAUGUAUGAUAGACGAGUUGCAGGACUAUUAAAUGAGGAUGAUGUGAGUGAUGGGGAAAUUUUAUGGAAUGAAAUCUUGUGCCAAGGUGGAGGAGUUCAAGAAAAUCAUUGAGAAAGAGGCUUCAUCAGUGCUGGCAUCAUGUGGUUGGUCAGAAGAAGUUUACACUUUUAUGCUUUCUCGGAAAAAGCUGUGUGUGGGACGAGCAGAAUAUGAUGCAUCAAAUGUCAACCAAUUGAAGAGGCUGUUGAUAAAAGAUGCCAAAUCAGCCUUCAUUUCAAAAAUUCCCGAGUCGUUGAAGGGGAGGCUUAUUGAACAUCUAGUAUUAUUCAGCAAAGAGAAACAACCUUCUAUUGCGUGAGCAGUCUUGCAAGCCUCUAGCAAUUGUAGAUGAUGAGGUUGGCUCCUCAUACUGUGAUGCUGAAAAUGAUGGAGUUAAUUUACUAUGGCAUCCUGAAGUCUGAAUUUAAUUACGAGUAUAUUCUAUUUCAUCAGUGGCAGAAGAUACUCUUAUCACAUCUCUAAUGUUUUUGGAACUCGGUAACUGGUCGAUUGAACCAAUUGUAGAUGAUCGUCCUGUAAAAGAUAAGGCAUACAAAAGUCGAGCCUGGGUGUCACCUUAAAUUUGCUUCUUGCAGGCGGUGCAAUAGGUGUUUGAUAGAGAAUGACACAAAUGUUGCUCAUAUUGUAUGAUAUCCUUUUUGAUCGUAUGUGUAGCAUAGAAUCCCAUUUUAUGGAUGUAUCACAAUUUUCCCAUCAAAAUGUGGCCGGAGUGUACGAUUGGAUCAGCAAUUGAGUAUUAUUACUACUACUUUUUCUAACA